UACGAGAGGCCCAAACGUUAUUCGGAUUUACUGGGCUUAAAGAGUUCGUAGGCGGUUCGGUAAGUGAGGUGUGAAAUCCCUUGGCUCAACCAAGGAAUUGCGCUUCAAACUGCCGGGCUUGAGGGAGAUAGAGGUGAGCAGAACUGAUGGUGGAGCGGUGAAAUGCGUUGAUAUCAUCAGGAAUACCAGAGGCGAAGGCGGCUCACUGGGUCUCUUCUGACGCUGAGGAACGAAAGCUAGGGGAGCAAACGGG
rnacentral:rRNA from 1 species